UGUCUCAAAAACAAACACACAAAAAGGGUAUACUAAUAGUAAAUGUACACAUGGAGGGUCUUCCUCAGUAAGAAACCAACCCUUCGACACGCUGAUUUUGGAUGUCUGGUCUCCAGGGCUGAGAGAACAUUUCUGUUGUCUUAAGCCACCUGGUUUGUGGCGAUCACUUCUGCCCUGACAGCAGUGUCCUUUGAGGAGAUGGCGAGUGUGAGUGGUCAGGGCUGUGCUGUGACUUGCUGUGGUGGGGAGAGGGGCACGGAGGGGCAGAGUGGCCCCGGGAGACCCAUUAGGAAAGUUUCAUGGUGAGUCCAUAGUGGUUUAGACAGGGGUGGUGCCUGCAUGACAGAGGAAGAGGAGGAGGAGCAGCAGCAGGACCAACAUGGGUCAGGGCGUGGCGGGUGGUGGUGCUGACUGUGGCUGGUCUGCUUCUGGUUUGCACACCAGAGGCUGGAGGAGGGCCCUCAAUGGAAGCGACCAGCAGGCAGCUGGGGAUGAGGGUCUGUAACCCAGGAGGUCUGGAGUUGCUGAGGUGCAGACAGAAGAGGAAGAGGAAGACGAAGAGGAGGACAAAGAGAAAGCAGGAGCAGAAAUGGCACCAUCUAGAGAGAGAGUGGGAGGUGGGGACAGGGACCGAGAGGAGCCCUGGGGACCGCCAGCUACAGAGAGACAAAUGCAAAUGGAUAUCGAGGAGGUGCAGUCAGAGGCAGAGGGAAGCCAGAAAGUGUGGGGCUCAGGAGAGCGGCUGGGGAUGCCAGAAGCUACCGAGGGGCCCAGCAGGAAAGGACUAAAACCGUCCCUGGACUUAGUGACCUGGAGGACCCUGGCGGCCUUGGCAGAGACAUUCUGUGGAUACGUGGCAGGAGGCUAAGAGCGCAGGCCGGGUCCCAGAGCAGAGUACGAUGGAGAGAAUCAACUAGAAAGGCUGGAGGACCGAGCUGUGGGAAGGAACUCCGGUGGCACGCCCAGAACACCGACAUGUGCCAACACCCUGGCUCACCGUUCAUCACUUCUGGUCUAACCACAUGUGGGCUGCAUGGGGUGCAGGCAUUUUGGAGUUUUGACACAUGGAACCGAAGUCCUUCCAGAACAGAUGUCAUAUUAUGUUCAUCAGCAGACCCAGGUUGAAGUGAAACAUUCCACGGGGUUUGGGCUGUGAGGAACAUCCUGCCCAACAUCCUGACCACACGGCCCAGGAACAUCCCGACCACCCGACCACACGGCCCAGGAACAUCCCGAACAUACCUUGCUGGGCAAAGGCCCAGCUGAAGGAACAUCCUGAUCAUAUUCUGCUGGGAACAAGGACCCAACUGCCUCAUCAUGGGAACAUCUCUCAACAUCUUCCCAGGCAGAAGCCCUACUGCCCAAACCCCUCCCGUCCAGGCCUGUAAGUACCCCAGCCUGUAAGCGGCGGUGGGCUCUGGCAUUAAGCUGGUCCCCCCUCUGUAGGUUUCUGCACUAUACCUCUGUUGCUGUAGAGACGCCCUCUCUCUCUCUGUCUUUCUUUAACCCUCGCCUUCCCUUUAAAAAAACCUAACACCAGGCUCAAGCCAUCCUCCUAUCUCAGCCUCCUGAGUAGCUUGGACUACAGCCCCAUGCCACUAUCCAUGGCUAUUUUUUGCAUUUUAUGUAGAGAUGGGGUUUCACCAUGUUGCCCA